ensembl:lncRNA
AAAAGAUUUUGAAUGCAGAUUGUAGUUGGAUUUUUCAACUGAUGAACUUGUUGAUCAUAACGUUCAUCUGGACCAGGUGUGGUCUUCAUCACUUCUUUAAGCUUUUCUUUCGCCUCUGUAAGGAGGGUGGUGGCUAAUUGUGUGUGUAAAAGGUCAAGACUCCAGUAAUGGUGUGGUUCAGUCAUUCCUUGUCUUAACAUUUGAUAGUCUCCUUCUACAGUGGCAGUUGUCAUUCCCCCGUCUGCGGUGGGAAUAAUGGCUAUUUUCAAAACUGUUAGGAGAUCUCUCCCCAAAAGAUUUAAUGGGCAGGAGGGAUCUACCAUGAUUGAAAUUUUGGUCUCCUGCCCGCUGUCUAAAUCUCUUAUCAUUGCAGGUUGAGUCAUGCGUUGUUUCAUGACAUGUCCAGAUGCUGAUCUAACCCAAAUGGUUUUGUUUGACAUUUUCAUUCCAGGAAAAGGUUGACGUACAACUGUAGUACAUGCUCCACUGUCACAUAGAAACAUGUAGGCUUUUCCAUUUAUUGUUAGUUUUCUCAUUGGUUCAGUAACUUGUUUGUCUUUUAAUAAACUAAAUAUAUCAAGCUGGACACGAGUAUCUGUCUCAGUGUCUGUUUUGUCAUCAAUUUCCGUUACAGGUGUGGCUUGUGGAUUUUGCUUUACAGCAUGAUUUUCAGUUCCUAUCACGCCUUCUCGUCAUGAAGUAUUUUGUGCGCUCAUUUUGCAGUCUUUGGCACGAUGCCCUGGCUUAUGGCAGACAAAGCAAUGGUUGUUUAGCCAGUCAUAAUGUUUUUGUGGUGUCAUUUCUUGUUGAGAGCGUUGCUGGGAAGAAUUAUAUCUUGAGCCUCUACCUCUCCCACGCCCUCUGCCUCUCCCUCUGCCUGGGAAGGAGGGGUGUCCUUGAUAAGCAAGAACAGUUUGUGCAUCAACAAGAAACACUGCUUUCUGUUCCUCUUUAUCUUUUUGUUGUUUUUCAAAAUGCUUGGCCUGCUCUACUGCCUGGGCCACAGUUCCUGUGUCUUGAUGCACCCAGUGCUUUUGCACUUUUUCUCUAGUUUGUGUUCUUAGACCUUUAAUGAAAAACAUUUUCAGUUGUUGUUGGUAAGCGCUGCCUGCCUCAUCAUUAUAUGGCACGCCAGAAUUCAAACGAUAGACCUUCUCUAACCUAUGUCUGUAAUCAGCAGCACUUUCUCCCUCUUUCUGGAUGGUUUCAGUUAUGGCAUUAAAAUUAGAUCGUUGCGGCCAUUCAUGUUCUAUGGCAGCAUACAGUACUUGUAAUUGUGCUGUCAAUUGCUGUGAAUCAUGUCUUAAAGCCUGACCAUUUGCUUCAGAGUCUGUAAAAUUGCCUCUAACUCGGUGCCAGUCGGCUGUUAGCACGUCCAUAAAACAGUCUGUGAGCUCAUGUCCAUUUAAUUUGUAACUUAGUCGUAUACCGUCCAUGUCACGUCUGAACUUGUCAGGGUCUACUUUGGGGUGUGGUAUGUCUUUUGUCGCUCUGCGUCUGUCAUGUGCGCUCCAUGGUCUGUAAACUAGCAUAGUCGGUUCUUGGUCCACUCGUGGUCUCCCAUUACCAUCUUGCUCACCCGUAGGCUGGCCAAACCUUGGGUUUGCAACUUCUAUGAGUGGACACUGUGGUCGUGCGGUCGGGUGUGGUCCACAGUCCUCACAGUCCUCUAUCUCUUCCUCAUACUCUUCUGUUCUCUUGCCCUUUUUCUUCUUUUUCGUUAUUUGAGAUAUUUCUGUUUUUAGAUCGACUUGGAGACGCAGGACAUCUUUAGUGUCCAGUUUUCCAGUGAAAUUAUGUUUUCUUAUCCAUCUUAUGCUUAUCUGGCCUGCUCCAGGGAGGCUUUUUCUCCAUGAACAGACCGUCCUUGGAUAAAGGUUGCGAUGAUUUACUCCCCAUGUUCUCUGUCUAUGUCAGAACACUCCAAUUUAAAUACUAUUUCUUCUGCUGUUUCUAGGUUAAUUUCUCUGUUAUUUACUAUUAUUCCACCGCUCUCAUAAAAUGUUCCAACUUGUAAAUCUACUAGUAGAGAGUUUAUUGACGGAGGGGUCCAGAAAUGUUCAGUUUUUAUUUCUCCGUCUUUAGAUACAAAAUGGAUAAUUACCAAACUCUUUUA